rnacentral:rRNA from 1 species
GACGAACGCUGGCGGCAGGCCUAACACAUGCAAGUCGAGCGAGGACUCCGGUCGUAGCGGCGGACGGGGGUGUAAGGCGUGGGAAGGGGCACUUGGGUUCGGACUAGCCCUGGGAAACGGGGAGCAAUACCGGAUGAGCCCUUUGGGGGGAAGAUUUAUCGGCGAAGGUGGGGCCCGCGUUGGAUUAGGUAGUUGGGUGGGUAAUGGCCUACCCAGCCGACGAUCCAUAGCUGGUUUGCGAGGAUGCUCAGCCACACUGGGACUGAGACACGACCCAGACUCCUACGGGAGGGAGCAGUAGGCUAUCUUAGCCAAUGGGGGAGAGCCUGGUCGAGCCUCGCCGCGUGAGCCAUUAAGGCCUGAGGGUUGUAAAGCUCUUUCAGCUGGGGAGAUACUGACGGUACCAGCAGCAGAAGCCCCGGCUAACUCCGUG